GUGGGGAAUCUUGCGCAAUGGGCGAAAGCCUGACGCAGCCAUGCCGCGUGAAUGAUGAAGGUCUUAGGAUUGUAAAAUUCUUUCACCGGGGACGAUAAUGACGGUACCCGGAGAAGAAGCCCCGGCUAACUUCGUGCCAGCAGCCGCGGUAAUACGAAGGGGGCUAGCGUUGCUCGGAAUUACUGGGCGUAAAGGGCGCGUAGGCGGACAGUUUAGUCAGAGGUGAAAGCCCAGGGCUUAACCUUGGAAUUGCCUUUGAUACUGGCUGUCUUGAGUACGGGAGAGGUGAGUGGAACUCCGAGUGUAGAGGUGAAAUUCGUAGAUAUUCGGAAGAACACCAGUGGCGAAGGCGACUCACUGGCCCGUUACUGACGCUGAGGCGCGAAAGCGUGGGGAGCAAACAGGAUUAGAUACCCGAGUAGUCC
rnacentral:rRNA from 1 species